GACGAACGCUGGCGGCGUGCUUAACACAUGCAAGUCGAACGGAAAGGCCCUUCGGGGUCCUCGAGUGGCGAACGGGUGAGUAACACGUGGGUGAUCUGCCCUGCACUUUGGGAUAAGCCUGGGAAACUGGGUCUAAUACCGAAUAGGACCACGCGCUUCAUGGUGUGUGGUGGAAAGCUUUUGCGGUGUGGGAUGGGCCCGCGGCCUAUCAGCUUGUUGGUGGGGUAAUGGCCUACCAAGGCGACGACGGGUAGCCGGCCUGAGAGGGUGACCGGCCACACUGGGACUGAGAUACGGCCCAGACUCCUACGGGAGGCGGCAGUGGGGAAUAUUGCACAAUGGGCGCAAGCCUGAUGCAGCGACGCCGCGUGAGGGAUGACGGCCUUCGGGUUGUAAACCUCUUUCACCAGGGACGAAGCGUAAGUGACGGUACCUGGAGAAGAAGCACCGGCCAACUACGUG
rnacentral:rRNA from 1 species